GGCUGAAUAGCUUAAUGGUAAGAGCAGUCGCCCGGCAAGCGAAAGACUCGGGUUCGAUUUCCGAUUUAGCGA
rfam:Camponotus floridanus CamFlo_1.0_3.contig3940, whole genome shotgun sequence.